rnacentral:lncRNA from 10 species
CGGAACCCGUGGGCAGGGGUGGGGGUGGGUGCCAGUGAGGAGGUGUUUUAGACAGAGGCACAUGUUCCCUCCCAGACUGUAUAGGGAAGGGAGCCCCUAUCCUGCUCACAUCCCGAAGGCUGCAGAGGAAGUGCCCCCAGCCUGUUUUCAGUUCCCUGUCUUGUCACCAUGGAAUGCCACGUUGACCCAUCACCUUGGCUGCAGAUGGCCUCCCUCCUGUGAUCAGACUCUGAGCAUCUCACCUGAUACAUGCUUCAUGCUGACACUCAGGCCCAGACUUUGGUCCCACACUGAGUCCCAACUUUGACCUCAGCCUGAGACACAACCUGGUUAUUGUCCUGGUAGAGACAGUUCCCCGAAUCCAGCCUCUGCCCAAACCCUCCUCCUAGACAUGGCUGAGCCCUAAUUUUGAUACAAAAUACUUGAAUUCAUCUUCAGAUUCAGUUCUGAUCCUAUACUGAACUAACUGAACACUACCAGGGAUCUGACUCCCUGAUAUUCGCUGGCGUCUCCCUGCGUGUUCUGAACCUAUGCUGACCAGCACCAGAAGGGUUCAGAGGGGUGAUUUCUUGCCUUGGGAUGAGAGAGCAAUGUUAGGGAUGACCAGCAGAGGGCGUGCAACAUCAGGUUCUAGAGGCAAGCGUCCAAGAGCCCACCUGUGAGCUAAAAAAAUUAAAGUUCUCGUUUUUGACACCAAAACUUUGGGGUUAUGUGGGUUCUUACAGUCAUGAAUCUUCUCCUUCUGGCUCACCUGGGCUCAGCACUGGGUAUGCACAGAAUGUGCUUAACUGUUUACUGGCAUCUCAGGUCUCAAGAGGACUGAAGUCACCCCACCCCCAAAUCAGCAUUUCUGUCACAUGCUUAAUACAGCUCCACUGCCUUCCUGGUAACCAGUUAUGUUUGGUCCUAUUGAGCAGAAAUCUGCCUCUCCACAGUGUUCACAUUUCAUCUUAGCCCUGUCCUUGGGACCACACUGACCUCAUUGGUCCAUCUGCCAAACAUCACCAUCUGCAUCCUUCAAAUCUGCUUCUCUCCAGGACCCAUGCCUUCAUGGACUCAUCCCCUGCCUUUCUCAAUUCUACUCACUAAGAUCAUGUUUCCCUGAAUGGGUUUCAGUUUGUGGUGCCCAGUUAUGAUUAGCUUUUUCCAGGAGAGCUGGUGCAGGGUACGAAUGAGCCGGCCUGCCUCCCUCCUCUGACUCUGAACUUCUUUCCACAUAGGCUCAGAUUACAUCAGUUUUUUCUGUGGUUGUUGUUUUGUUUUUCUUUUGAGAUGGAGUCUCGCCCUGUUGCCUAGGCUGGAGUGCAAUGGUGUGAUCUCGGCUCACUGCAACCUUUGCCUCCUGGGUUCAAGCAAUUCUUCUGCCUCAGCCUCCUGAGUAGCUGGAACUACAGGUGUGCACCACCACACCUGGCUAAUUUUUGCAUUUUUAGUAGAGACAGG